AAAAAGUUUGACCAUGAAAAUUCACAUAUCUAAGAAAAGCAGUCGUUUAAUUGAUUAUAAGAAAGUUUCAGUAUAUCAUGUCAAAUUUCUUUAAUUUGAGAGUUUUCCUUUAGUUACAAAUGUAGCUCCAUGUCUGAUGGUGAAAUAAAAAUGAAUGUCUCAGAAAGUGGUGAAUUAGUUUCCAUAAAUGACAGAUGAAUCGGGC
rnacentral:lncRNA from 1 species